rnacentral:rRNA from 1 species
GACGAACGCUGGCGGCGUGCUUAACACAUGCAAGUCGAACGGUGAAGCGCCUUCCUUUUUGGUGGGUGUGGAUGAGUGGCGAACGGGUGAGUAACACGUGAGUAACCUGCCCCCUUCUUCUGGAUAACCGCAUGAAAGUGUGGCUAAUACGGGAUAUUCUGGGUCUGUCGCAUGAUGGGUCUGUGAAAGAUAUUGUUUCGGUGGGGGAUGGGCUCGCGGCCUAUCAGCUUGUUGGUGGGGUGAUGGCCUACCAAGGCGGUGACGGGUAGCCGGCCUGAGAGGGUGGACGGUCACACUGGGACUGAGACACGGACCAGACUCCUACGGGAGGCAGCAGUGGGGAAUAUUGCACAAUGGGCGCAAGCCUGAUGCAGCGACGCCGCGUGAGGGAUGGAGGCCUUCGGGUUGUGAACCUCUUUCGCCAGUGAAGCAGGCCUGCCUCGUUUGUGGGUGGGUUGACGGUAGCUGGAUAAGAAGCGCCGGCUAACUACGUG